rnacentral:rRNA from 1 species
GAUGAACGCUGGCGGCGUGCCUAAUACAUGCAAGUCGAGCGAACAGACGAGGAGCUUGCUCCUCUGACGUUAGCGGCGGACGGGUGAGUAACACGUGGAUAACCUACCUAUAAGACUGGGAUAACUUCGGGAAACCGGAGCUAAUACCGGAUAAUAUAUUGAACCGCAUGGUUCAAUAGUGAAAGACGGUUUUGCUGUCACUUAUAGAUGGAUCCGCGCCGCAUUAGCUAGUUGGUAAGGUAACGGCUUACCAAGGCAACGAUGCGUAGCCGACCUGAGAGGGGGAUCCGCCACCAUGGAACUGGGACACGGUCCAGACUCCUACGGGAGGCAGCCGUAGGGAAUCUUCCGCAAUGGGCGAAAGCUUGACGGAGCAACGCCGCGUGAGUGAUGAAGGUCUUCGGAUCGUAAAACUCUGUUAUUAGGGAAGAACAAAUGUGUAAGUAACUAUGCACGUCUUGACGGUACCUAAUCAGAAAGCCACGGCUAACUACGUG